GCUGGGCAGCGGUGGUGUGGGUGUUAUAACUCACAACUUUCUGUCCAGAAC
rnacentral:precursor_RNA from 1 species